rnacentral:rRNA from 1 species
CUACGGGCCGCUCCAGGCGAGAAAACUUUGCAAUGUGCGCAAGCACGACAAGGUUAAUCCGAGUGGUUUCUGCUAAAGGAACCUUUUGACAGUCCUAGAAACACUGUUGAAUAAGGGGUGGGCAAGUUCUGGUGUCAGCCGCCGCGGUAAAACCAGCACCUCAAGUGGUCAGGAUGAUUAUUGGGCCUAAAGCAUCCGUAGCCGGCUCUGUAAGUUUUCGGUUAAAUCUGUACGCUUAACGUACAGGCUGCCGGGAAUACUGCAGAGCUAGGAAGUGGGAGAGGUAGACGGUACUAGGUAGGAAGGGGUAAAAUCCUUUGAUCUAUUGAUGACCACCAGUGGCGAAGGCGGUCUACCAGAACACGUCCGACGGUGAGGGAUGAAAGCUGGGGGAGCAAACCGGAUUAGAUACCCCAGUAGUC